GGCGGCAUGGCCAAGUGGAUUAAGGCGACGGAUUGCAAAUCCGUUAUUCGUGGGUUCGAAUCCCACUGCCGCCU
rfam:Phycisphaerae bacterium SM23_30 WORSMTZ_6609, whole genome shotgun sequence.